rnacentral:misc_RNA from 1 species
GAAAUGCGAUAAGUAAUGUGAAUUGCAGAAUUCAGUGAAUCAUCGAAUCCUUGAACGCACCUUGCGCUCCUUGGUAUUCCUUGGAGCAUGCCUGUUUGAGUAUCAUGAAAUCUUCAAAGUAAUCUUUUGUUAACUCAAUUGGUUUCUACUUUGGUAUUGGAGGUCUUUGCAGCUUCACACCUGCUCCUCUUUGUUCAUUAGCUGGAUCUCAGUGUUAUGCUUGGUUCCACUCGGCGUGAUAAGUUAUCUAUCGCUGAGGACACUGUAAAAGGUGGCCAAGGUAAAUGCAGAUGAACCGCUUCUAAUAGUCCAUUGACUUGGACAAUACUUUUAUGAUCUGAUCUCAAAUCAGGUAGGACUACGCGCUGAACUUAAGC